ACACGCUCGAGAUGUUGAAAAACCGAGGUGUGACACUGGAAUUCAAUUCCAGCUUCGUUUUUACUCUUUAUUUUUGCUGGAUUGCAAAAGUUAACUCCUGAACUUGUUCUUGAAGGGACUUCAUUUUCUGCAUCAGUUAGAACAACUUCGUCUAAUGGUUGUGAAUUUUAUAUAUUAACAAUUGAUGAAAGCUCUUAACAACAGUAUCAGUUUCCCGGUUUCAUAUGACCGGCAUCUUCCGGUCUUCACCACCUCUGCAUAACCCAUCUCCAAACUCAAAACACAGCCCCCAGACGUCGAUUCUUAGGAACAGUAUCCUCAUCUCAGCCGCUGCUUUCUGAUCCAACGUCCACUAUGUGUUCGCCUCUUCUUCCUGGCCGGCCGGUGUUAAAGCUUCUGUGGCAAUCGAAAAGGAUUCAGGUACCGCACGCUAGGGUUUAGUGUUGCUGCUUUUACCCACCCGCCACAAUCGACCUCUUAGGUUUGCCUCUGUAAAUCGUAGGUGGAGAUGGUGUUGGGUUAGGUUAGGGUUUCGCAGGUGGCGAGCGAUGGUGAUUGUGGAACGCCUGUCUGCAUCUUCCACCUCCACCGUCAACAUCCGCCUCCACACUCACACCUCUGAUAAGGCUAAUUUUCCUUAAGAGAAGAAAUUGGUUGCUGUUGAUGAUUUUGAGAACCAUGAUAGGUAAUGGUGCUAUUGGUGAGGUAUGGUUACAAUUUCCAUCCCUUUAGAUGUUUUUUUUAUGCUAGAUGUAUUUCGCAACUCUAAAUGUUACUAGCAGUAGUAUUUAAUAUAAAAAAACAACAGCCAAUGUAUAUGUCAAUGGUUACAACUCUGGAUGUCUGGUUAUUCUCAUUAUACAACUUCCCCAAAGAUGCAUCUUAGGUU